rnacentral:rRNA from 1 species
AGGACGAACGCUGGCGGCGUGCUUAACACAUGCAAGUCGAACGCGCCUUAUUCCUUCGGGAGUAAGGUGAGUGGCGAACGGGUGAGUAACACGUGAGCAACCUGCCCUUGACCCUGGAAUAACAGCUGGAAACAGCUGCUAAUACCGGAUACGACCUCCGAUGGCAUCAUCUGGAGGUGGAAAGCUCCGACGGUCAAGGAUGGGCUCGCGGCCUAUCAGCUUGUUGGUGAGGUAACGGCUCACCAAGGCUUCGACGGGUAGCC